rnacentral:rRNA from 1 species
UGCAGUCGAACGGUGAUGGGGGAGCUUGCUCCUCCUGAUCAGUGGCGAACGGGUGAGUAACACGUGAGCAACCUGCCCCCGACUCUGGGAUAACGUCGAGAAAUCGGCGCUAAUACCGGAUAUGAGGCGCACAGGCAUCUGUGCGUCUGGAAAGAAUUUCGGUCGGGGAUGGGCUCGCGGCCUAUCAGCUUGUUGGUGGGGUGAUGGCCUACCAAGGCGACGACGGGUAGCCGGCCUGAGAGGGCGACCGGCCACACUGGGACUGAGACACGGCCCAGACUCCUACGGGAGGCAGCAGUGGGGAAUAUUGCACAAUGGGCGCAAGCCUGAUGCAGCGACGCCGCGUGGGGGAUGAAGGCCUUCGGGUUGUAAACCCCUUUCAGCAGGGAAGAAGCGAAAGUGACGGUACCUGCAGAAGAAGCGCCGGCUAACUACGUGCCAGCAGCCGCGGUAAUACGUAGGGCGCAAGCGUUGUCCGGAAUUAUUGGGCGUAAAGAGCUCGUAGGCGGUUUGUCGCGUCUGCUGUGAAAACCCGAGGCUCAACCUCGGGCCUGCAGUGGGUACGGGCAGACUAGAGUGCGGUAGGGGAGACUGGAAUUCCUGGUGUAGCGGUGGAAUGCGCAGAUAUCAGGAGGAACACCGAUGGCGAAGGCAGGUCUCUGGGCCGCAACUGACGCUGAGGAGCGAAAGCAUGGGGAGCGAACAGGAUUAGAUACCCUGGUAGUCCAUGCCGUAAACGUUGGGCACUAGGUGUGGGGCUCAUUCCACGAGUUCCGUGCCGCAGCAAACGCAUUAAGUGCCCCGCCUGGGGAGUACGGCCGCAAGGC